GAUGAACGCUGGCGCCGUGCUUAACACAUGCAAGUCGAGCGAGGGAGCACCUUCGGGUGUGAACUAGCGGCGGACGGGUGAGUAACACGUGGGCAACCUGCCUUACAGAGGGGGAUAGCCUUCCGAAAGGAAGAUUAAUACCGCAUAUUAUGGUUUUUCUGCAUGGAGGAAUCAUGAAAGGAGCAAUCCGCUGUAAGAUGGGCCCGCGGCGCAUUAGCUAGUUGGUGAGGUAAGGGCUCACCAAGGCGACGAUGCGUAGCCGACCUGAGAGGGUGAUCGGCCACAUUGGGACUGAGACACGGCCCAGACUCCUACGGGAGGCAGCAGUGGGGAAUAUUGCACAAUGGGGGAAACCCUGAUGCAGCAACGCCGCGUGAGUGAUGACGGCCUUCGGGUUGUAAAGCUCUGUCUUCAGGGACGAUAAUGACGGUACCUGAGGAGGAAGCCACGGCUAACUACGUGCCAGCAGCCGCGGUAAUACGUAGGUGGCGAGCGUUAUCCGGAUUUACUGGGCGUAAAGGAUGCGUAGGUGGAAUUUUAAGUGGGAUGUGAAAUACCCGGGCUCAACCUGGGAACUGCAUUCCAAACUGGAAUUCUAGAGUGCAGGAGAGGAAAGCGGAAUUCCUAGUGUAGCGGUGAAAUGCGUAGAGAUUAGGAAGAACACCAGUGGCGAAGGCGGCUUUCUGGACUGUAACUGACACUGAGGCAUGAAAGCGUGGGGAGCAAACAGG
rnacentral:rRNA from 1 species